UUGGAGGGCAAGUCUGGUGCCAGCAGCCACGGUAAUUCCAGCUCCAAUAGCGUAUAUUAAAGUUGUUGCAGUUAAAAAGCUCGUAGUUGAACUUCGGGGUCUACCCAUUGGUCAGGCUUAAUUGUCUGCACUGGUGAGAUGGAUCUCUACCUUCUGAGGAACUUUCAUGCCAUUUAUUUGGUGUGGUUGGAAAUCAGGACUGUUACUUUGAAAAAAUUAGAGUGUUUAAAGCAGACUAUCGUCUGAAUACAUUAGCAUGGAAUAAUGAAAUAGGACGGACUGAUUCUGUUUCGUUGGUUUCUAGGAUCACCGUAAUGAUUAAUAGGGAUAGUUGGGGGCAUUAGUAUUCAAUUGUCAGAGGUGAAAUUCUUGGAUUUAUUGGAGACUAACUACUGCGAAAGCAUUUGCCAAGGAUGUUUUCAUUAAUCAAGAACGAAAGUUAGGGGAUCGAAGACGAUCAGAUACCGUCGUAGUCUUAACCAUAAACUAUGCCGACUAGGGAUCGGACGAAGUUAAUUUUAUAAUGACGCGUUCGGCACCUUACGGGAAACCAAAGUGUUUGGGUUC
rnacentral:rRNA from 1 species